AGAGUUUGAUCAUGGCUCAGGAUGAACGCUAGCUACAGGCUUAACACAUGCAAGUCGAGGGGAAACGACAUCGAAAGCUUGCUUUUGAUGGGCGUCGACCGGCGCACGGGUGAGUAACGCGUAUCCAACCUGCCCACCACUUGGGGAUAACCUUGCGAAAGUAAGACUAAUACCCAAUGACAUCUCUAGAAGACAUCUGAAGGAGAUUAAAGAUUUAUCGGUGAUGGAUGGGGAUGCGUCUGAUUAGCUUGUUGGCGGGGUAACGGCCCACCAAGGCGACGAUCAGGUAGGGGUUCUGAGAGGAAGGUCCCCCANAUUGGAACUGAGACACGGUCCAAACUCCUAGGGAGCA
rnacentral:rRNA from 1 species